rnacentral:lncRNA from 1 species
GGAGGAAGAAGGAAGGAACGAGAGAGAGGUUUCCAGAAGUUCCCCAGUCAUUGAGCAUUUCUGAGGCUCUUGAUGCAUAUGCCAAGUAGUUAUGGAGAAAGACACAGCAGCUUACCUCUGCAGGCAUCAUUGUGUGAAAGGAAGACCCAGGCUCUCUCACCACCCUUGAACAGAAGCCUUUUGCUAAGGUGAUAGCUACAUGUCCAAGCCUAUUGCGUGGCAUGCAUUUUGCCUUCUGCAGCCCACUAAAGGAGUUUGCAGUUCACCCGCAAACCUCAGCGAUCCAAGCUCCCCUGGAUGACCAUCACUCACCAAGAAAAGAGCAAUAACAGGACCUGUUUUGCUAAUCCAGGACUGUUCUCCAGCACUAACUCUAAAUAAUCCCUUCUGCUAGAGUCCACUUUCUGGAACCUGUUGCCUCCGUUUUCAACGUUUCCCAAACUUGGUCCGUUGUGUGAGCUGGCUGAUAAAAGUUCCAGGUAACCUUCCUUGUUCUCAAGGUCCAUUUUCCAGGAAAAUCUGAGUCAUGGUGCUGGGGAGGACACUUAAGUACAUCAGUCAAUCAGAUGAUUAUUAAAUUUAGGAAAUAGUAGAUCAACUGGAUUAACUGGAUUAAAAUGCAGAAUCCCAGGCCCCAGCCCAGACCUACUGAACCAGCAUCUGCUCUUUAACAAGAGCCCCAUGUGAUGUGUGGGACAGAAAACUUUGUGAAGCACAGGGCUAGACAGUCUCUAAAGUCUUCUGCAGAUCAGAAACGCAGCAAUUCUGAGGUUUUCUUCAAUUUUCUAAU